CCAGAAGCAAGCCUCCACUUCGACCACCCUGCUCCUAUCCGAUGGGUGACGUCCCCGUCAAUCUCUCCGUCCCCCUGAAUCACAGACCCAAGAUAACUCUUCAGCAGGGGAAAAAACAAAAAACAACCCCUUUUCUAGUCGUCUUCUCCAAUACAGACCCCUGUAGCCAUUCCCACAGCCCAGCUCGCCGGGAAACAACCCGUAACACCGGUGACCUCCUUCAACAACCUUCACACACAGAAACGUCAGGACAUGCACACACACGCAUCAGCUGAUUCCUUCUUCUUCUAAACUAAAAAUAGUAACAGCAGCCCUCCACGAUCUCACGCACACACAGGGAUAGGGCAGCAACUAGAGGUCCUUGAAACAGAGUGAGAGAUAGACGGAGGAAAAGCGAGGUAGUCCGGUUAAAGUUCUGUCGAGGUCGCCAAUUCGAGUUCGGGUCCUACGUGAGUGUUCGUUCGUUAAUUCUGCUCAUGAUUCGAAGUCGAACAGCCUCCAAACAUUACUAUUUCAGUCCGAAAUCCAGCUAAAAAUUGCAAAAACGCAGCAGCUUUGUAUUCUGUCCAUUGAUCUCAUUUUUUGGGGUUUAGCUCGAGUUUUUCCGGUGCGUCAAGGUCCGGUGAGUCGAGGUCGUACGACGAGGAAGAAGCUCGAGCUUCAGAUCUGCUUGGCCCAAGUAAUUCUCUUUUUUUUUAACCAUUUCUAUACUAUGUUAAUCAUCUCACUGUUGAAUUAAAUGUUACUGUCAUGAAUUAGCUUCUACGUUGGAUUUGCAAAUGGAAUUUUUUUGAUCUGGUUCCCGCAGGCUUUAUGAAAACAUGAAUGUUUAAUGAUGAUUGGGAUAAUGAUGA
rnacentral:lncRNA from 1 species